AGAUGAGCAUGCGUCCCAUUAGCUAGUUGGUAAGGUAACGGCUUACCAAGGCAACGAUGGGUAGGGGUCCUGAGAGGGAGAUCCCCCACACUGGUACUGAGACACGGACCAGACUCCUACGGGAGGCAGCAGUGAGGAAUAUUGGUCAAUGGGCGCAAGCCUGAACCAGCCAUGCCGCGUGCAGGAUGACGGUCCUAUGGAUUGUAAACUGCUUUUGCACAGGAAGAAACACUCGGUCGUGACCGAGCUUGACGGUACUGUGAGAAUAAGGAUCGGCUAACUCCGUGCCAGCAGCCGCGGUAAUACGGAGGAUCCAAGCGUUAUCCGGAAUCAUUGGGUUUAAAGGGUCCGUAGGCGGCCAGAUAAGUCAGUGGUGAAAGCCCAUCGCUCAACGGUGGAACGGCCAUUGAUACUGUUUGGCUUGAAUUAUUUGGAAGUAACUAGAAUAUGUAGUGUAGCGGUGAAAUGCUUAGAGAUUACAUGGAAUACCAAUUGCGAAGGCAGGUUACUACAAAUUGAUUGACGCUGAUGGACGAAAGCGUGGGUAGCGAACAGGAUUAGAUACCCUGGUAGUCCACGCCGUAAACGAUGGAUACUAGCUGUUGGGAGCAAUCUCAGUGGCUAAGCGAAAGUGAUAAGUAUCCCACCUGGGGAGUACGUUCGCAAGAAUGAAACUCAAAGGAAUUGACGGGGGCCCGCACAAGCGGUGGAGCAUGUGGUUUAAUUCGAUGAUACGCGAGGAACCUUACCAAGGCUUAAAUGUAGAUUGACCGGUUUGGAAACAGACUUUUCGCAAGACAAUUUACAAGGUGCUGCAUGGUUGUCGUCAGCUCGUGCCGUGAGGUGUCAGGUUAAGUCCUAUAACGAGCGCAACCCCUGUUGUUAGUUGCCAGCGAGUCAUGUCGGGAACUCUAGCAAGACUGCCAGUGUAAACUGUGAGGAAGGUGGGGAUGACGUCAAAUCAUCACGGCCCUUACGCCUUGGGCUACACACGUGCUACAAUGGCCGGUACAGAGAGCAGCCACU
rnacentral:rRNA from 1 species